rnacentral:rRNA from 1 species
GACGAACCGUGCGAACGUUGUUCGGAAUCACUGGGCUUAAAGGGCGCGUAGGCGGGUCAUCAAGUCAGGGGUGAAAUCCUCCAGCUCAACUGGAGAACUGCCUUUGAUACUGAUGGUCUCGAGUGAGGUAGGGGCGUGCGGAACUGAUGGUGGAGCGGUGAAAUGUGUUGAUAUCAUCAGGAACUCCGGUGGCGAAAGCGGCACGCUGGACCUCCACUGACGCUGAGGCGCGAAAGCUAGGGGAGCAAACGGG